rnacentral:lncRNA from 8 species
AUGGGACUGUCAGUACUCCAGAAUGGGACUGUCAGUACUCCAGAAUGGGACUGUCAGUACUCCAGAAUGGGACUGUCAGUAUUCCAGAAUGGGACUGUCAGUAUUCCAGAACAGUACUGUCAGUACUCCAGAAUGGGACUGUCAGUAUUCCAGAAUGGGACUGUCAGUAUUCCAGAAUGGGACUGUCAGUACUCCAGAAUUGGACUGUCAGUACUCCAGAAUGGGACUGUCAGUACUCCAGAAUGGGACUGUCAGUAUUCCAGAAUGGGACUGUCAGUAUUCCAGAAUGGGACUGUCAGUAUUCCAGAAUGGGACUCAGUAUUCCAGAAUGGGACUGUCAGUAUUCCAGAAUGGGACUGUCAGUACUCCAGAAUGGGACUGUCAGUAUUCCAGAACAGUACUGUCAGUACUCCAGAAUGGGACUGUCAGUAUUCCAGAAUGGGACUGUCAGUACUCCAGAAUGGGACUGUCAGUAUUCCAGAAUGGGACUGUCAGUAUUCCAGAAUGGGACUGUCAGUAUUCCAGAGUGAGACUCAGUAUUCCAGAAUGGGACUGUCAGUAUUCCAGAAUGGGACUGUCAGUACUCCAGAAUGGGACUGUCAGUAUUCCAGAACAGUACUGUCAGUAUUCCAGAAUGGGACUGUCAGUAUUCCAGAACAGUACUGUCAGUAUUCCAGAAUGGGACUGUCAGUACUCCAGAAUGGGACUGUCAGUAUUCCAGAAUGGGACUGUCAGUACUCCAGAAUGGGACUGUCAGUAUUCCAGAAUGGGACUGUCAGUAUUCCAGAAUGGGACUGUCAGUAUUCCAGAGUGAGACUCAGUAUUCCAGAAUGGGACUGUCAGUAUUCCAGAAUGGGACUGUCAGUAUUCCAGAAUGGGACUGUCAGUACUCCAGAAUGGGACUGUCAGUAUUCCAGAACAGUACUGUCAGUAUUCCAGAAUGGGACUGUCAGUAUUCCAGAACAGUACUGUCAGUAUUCCAGAAUGGGACUGUCAGUAUUCCAGAACAGUACUGUCAGUAUUCCAGAAUGGGACUGUCAGUAUUCCAGAACAGUACUGUCAGUAUUCCAGAAUGGGACUGUCAGUACUCCAGAAUGGGACUGUCAGUAUUCCAGAAUGGGACUGUCAGUAUUCCAGAAUGGGACUGUCAGUAUUCCAGAAUGGGACUGUCAGUAUACCACAGACCCAGACAUGAUUCUAAUUGUGUGA